UCACAUAUACGUGUAUGAGGCGUGACAUUUGUGUUAUCCGAUCCAGUUGCGAUGAUCGCAAUUUUGCGCUAGCAACGCCGUUGUUUUUUUUAAUUCAUAUUUUUUUUUAUAUAUAUACAUAUAUUUAUAUCUGCACAUUUUUUUCAUAACUAACUACCCUGAUUUUUCCUAAACCCUGACAAUUUCGCCACAAACUCUAAAUUUCAAACCUAAAACUUUAACCGUGUUGUUUCCCCUAAAC
rnacentral:lncRNA from 1 species